ACCGCAGAGGUGAAUCUGGCAACACUGCAUAACGGUACUGCAGAUUGAGUGCUGCCGUUAAAUGUUGACAAAUAGGAAUGGAGAUAAGUAAACAAGAUGAUAGUAUGUAGUAGUAGUGGUAGUAGUAGUAAUAUAGAUAAUAGUGAGUGGUAAACAUAAUUCGCCAUCGCAAAUAUAAUCUCGAUGUAUUAUUAGAAUAUAAACAAUUCAGUUCCGCGGUUAAAGUUUAUUAUUCGAAAAUCGUAUAUAAAUAGUGCUAGAUUGGUCGCAGGAGGUACAAAAAACGUUCCUUAUUUACCGCUAAAUCCUCGACGGUCGAUCGUGGUGGAUACCUGUAAAGGAUACAUUCACCCAAAAAGUAUCUACCAUUCCUCGUUGGAUUUAGAUUCACCUGCAAAUAGGUCGAGCAUAUAGCACAACAACGUUAGGGUAGUUGGACCGAAGUUCGGAUCAAGCGCAAAUCAUACAGCAAAUCGAUCAACAGAGAGAGUGUAGGAGGAAGAAAAGGAAGCUUUAUACAGUGGGAAAGGAAACCACUU